AAGAAAAGUGGUCUGUAACGGCGCUUGAAUCAAGACGUUUUAAAAAACGUUGUGGUAUACUGAAUAGUCAACACGUUUUUCAAGGCGUCAUGCUCGCCGUAUUUAACUUAAUAGACAUUAAACCCCAUUCCAAUUACAAAAUAACACAAAAUCUCUCUCAUACACGGCUCUUCUUCAUCGAACUCGAUCUCUCUCUCUCUCUCUCUCUCUCUCACAAAUCGCAGAUCCGAACUCGAUCUGAUCUCUCUUGCAUUUUGUUAGAUCUAUUCUUGCUCUAGCUUUUCUUCAUCGAACUCAAACUCGAUCUCUCUCGCAAAUUGCAGAUCCGAAAUCGAACAAGAAAGUCUAUCAAUUUAAUUGGUGUUUGAUUUCUUUGUAGGUGGCGAUGAAAUGUAGAGAUCAGUUACAUGAACUUGUAAAGGAAGAGAUUGAGAAGAGGGAUUCGAGUACGGAGGAGUGGAAGAUCGCGAUGGAGAGAAGCUUCAAUCGCAUGGACAAUGAGGUGAUUGCAAGGAACGACAGCGUUCUGCGCACCGAGAAAUAUCGAUCCGUUGUUGAAGGAUCUGAGUGAGAAGAAGCAGAGCUUCCGGCGGAACGUGGUGUCACUGGCGGUGGAGCACAAGGAGGUCCGAAGCCGUCUCGCUUCACAGGCAGAGGCCAAAGCUAAGAAGAUGGAGGAUGAGAUGUAUAGAUUACAGGAGAGCUUAGAGGAGAGAAAUUGCAGCUUCAAGCAUCAACAUCUACUGCUGGGAAGUGUAUCAAUUUACACACCAUAUACUUCAUCGUGAUGUCAAGGUUAGUUGCC